UUUCCCAUUUCUUCCGUCUCCUCUCUUCCUUGCGUAGACCACCGGCGACAUGGUGAUGGUCCGGCGAGCUCUGACGACCUCCAAGUGGAGCGGAUCGGCGUUAGCAACAGGAGACUAACAACCCCACCGGCUUCCUCCGCCUUCUCUCUUCUUCUCGUCAAUAGUAGCAGUGGUGGAGUUCCCGGUGAGUAAGCAGAUGCGGGGAACAAUGGACUUGGUGUUCUCCGGUCAGGCACGAGCAAAUAUGGUGAAGCAGCGAGUGGCGGAGACCUUCCUUUUUCUGGCAGCGGACAUCAAAUCCGUGGGUUCUUUGUUAAAGUGGCUAUCGAGUGAGCUCAAUAAUUGAAUACGUUGCUUUGGAGCUCGGAUUAAAGGUGGGCCCAACUCUUGAGAGUGCUCGAGUUAGACUAGUGUAGUUAGUUGCUAUGUUGUCUAAACUCUUUGAUCUUUUAUCGUUAUUUUUGAGAUUAUGGAUGUAGACACCUUAUGUUUUGUUGGUGAUAGACACCGGGGUACUUUUCCCCAAGUUACUUUAACGUAGUAAAUUUUGGAUGUUAGUUUGACUUGAUGUUUAGUUUUACCCUUUGCCUGGGCAAUCACCGUGGGAAGGUGGUUGUGGCGGUGACAUUCCCACUAAGUUUGUUAAUUAAGUUUGUUUUUCCGCUG